rnacentral:rRNA from 1 species
ACCGGCGCACGGGUGCGUAACGCGUAUGCAAUCUACCUUUUACAGGGGAAUAGCCCAGAGAAAUUUGGAUUAAUGCCCCAUAGUAUAUAUCAUUCGCAUGUUUGGUAUAUUAAAGUUCCAACGGUAAAAGAUGAGCAUGCGUCCCAUUAGUUAGUUGGUAAGGUAACGGCUUACCAAGACGAUGAUGGGUAGGGGUCCUGAGAGGGAGAUCCCCCACACUGGUACUGAGACACGGACCAG